UACAGAGGGUGCGAGCGUUUAAUCGGAAUUACUGGGCGUAAAGCGCGCGUAGGCGGCUUUGCAAGUCGGGUGUGAAAUCCCCAGGCUUAACCUGGGAACUGCAUUCGAGACUGCAUUGCUAGAGUAUGGGAGAGGGAAGUGGAAUUUCCGGUGUAGCGGUGAAAUGCGUAGAGUAUCGGAAGGAACAUCAGUGGCGAAAGCGACUUCCUGGACCAAUACUGACGCUCAUGUGCGGAAAGCGUGGG
rnacentral:rRNA from 1 species